rnacentral:rRNA from 4 species
CAGACCUCUAAUCGGAAAAGACUACCCGCUGAGUUUAAGCAUAUCACUAAGCGGAGGAGAAGAAACUAACCAGGAUU